rnacentral:tRNA from 1 species
CGGGCCGUCGUAUACCGGUAGUACGCGUGCUUUGGGAGCACGAUGACCGAGUUCGAUUCUCGGCGGCCCGACCA